AGCUUUGCACAGUGGCAGUAUCAUAGCCAAUGAGGUUUAUCUGAGACGCAAUUAUUGCUAAUUGUAACUAUUAAAAUUUAUAUUUAAAAUAUAUGCUUUGAAUGUAUAGCAAAUAGUAGAUGGU
rnacentral:snRNA from 1 species